rnacentral:tRNA from 1 species
CUAGGUAGCUUAGUUGGUAAAGCACUUGUCUAGCAUACAAGAGUCCUGGGCUCAAAUUCUAGACUAG